AGCCAUGCAAGUGCGAGUGAUUCGGAGCAUCUCUUGUCAAAGAGGGUAAGGCAUCUUUGGAUGACUGCGAAAGGCUCAUUAAAACAGUUAUUGGAUCUGGAUGGUCAGAGGUGAACAAGGAGGAUAAGGGUGUGAUAAUAGAGCUAAAACGAGGGAGUGGGAUCUCG
rnacentral:rRNA from 1 species